AGCCUCAUUCUAGACGAGAAUGGGCACUGCUGAUCAUGGUAUGUGUCCCAGAAUUGUUAAUGUGGCUAAAUCAAGACACAGGUUAUGCUUCCAUCACAGUAUUAUGUGUUACAGUGGUGACAAUGAGACCUGUAACAUUU
rnacentral:snoRNA from 1 species